rnacentral:rRNA from 1 species
AUUGAACGCUGGCGGCAGGCCUAAUACAUGCAAGUCGAGCGACCGGCGGACGGGUGAGUAAUGUAUGGGGUCUGCCCGAUAGAGGGGGAUAACUACUGGAAACGGCGGAUAAUACCGCAUACUAUCGGGUAAUCUAUAUGGUAUUAGCUAGUAGGGGGGGUAAAGGCUCACCUAGGCGACGAUCUCUAGCUGGUCUGAGAGGAGGAUCGGCCACGUGGUGACUGCGACACGGCCCAAACUCCUACGGAGGCAGCAGGGGGGAAUAUUGCACAAUGGGCGCAAGCCGGAUGCAGCCAUGCGGCGUGUAUGAAGAAGGGCUUAGGGUUGUAAAGUACUUUCAGCGGGGAAGCGUUACCCAAAGAAGAAGCACCGGCUAACUCCGUGCCAGCAGCCGCGGUAAUUC